rnacentral:rRNA from 1 species
UACGUAGGGUGCAAGCGUUGUCCGGAAUUAUUGGGCGUAAAGAGCUCGUAGGUGGUUUGUUGCGUCGGCUGUGAAAACCUGAGGCUCAACCUCAGGCCUGCAGUCGAUACGAGCAGACUAGAGUGUUGCAGGGGAGACUGGAAUUCCUGGUGUAGCGGUGAAAUGCGCAGAUAUCAGGAGGAACACCGAUGGCGAAGGCAGGUCUCUGGGCAUUAACUGACGCUGAGGAGCGAAAGCAUGGGGAGCGAACAGG